GAUGAAGAACGUAGCGAAAUGCGAUACGUAAUGUGAAUUGCAGAAUUCAGUGAAUCAUCGAGUCUUUGAACGCACAUUGCGCCCCCUGGUAUUCAGGGGGGCAUGCCUGUCCGAGCGUCAUUGCUGCCCUCAAGCACGGCUUGUGUGUUGGGCCUCCGUCCUCCUCCCGGGGGACGGGCCCGAAAGGCAGCGGCGGCACCGCGUCCGGUCCUCGAGCGUAUGGGGCUUCGUCACCCGCUCUUGUAGGCCCGGCCGGCGCUUGCCGACACAUCAAUCUUUUUUCCAGGUUGACCUCGGAUCAGGUAGGGAUACCCGCUGAACUUAAGCAUAUCAAUAAGCGGAGGA
rnacentral:misc_RNA from 1 species